AUGCUCACCUCGACAGCACACAUGCUAGAACUGGAACAAUACAGAGAAGACUGGCAAGGCCCUUGCGCAAGAAUGACACGCGAAUUUGUAAACCAUUCCAUUAAAAA
rfam:Tupaia chinensis contig11149, whole genome shotgun sequence.